UCUACCCUAAGUACGUGCAGUGAAAAACGCCCUCCCACAGCAUUGCUCUGCGCUUUAAAAUGUGCACAGACAAGCCAAGCCAAUCAUGCAGACACAGAACUUGGCUUGGAAAUUAAGGCAGACUAAUUGAGCUCUGCCUGAACUUUCUUCCCCUGAAUCCCAAACAACCUGCCUAGCAAGUGUUCUUCCUCGGAGCAGCCAAGGCUUGGUGCGAACUCCAGGAUCUCGGUGGGAUUCUGGGCAGAGCAGGAGGGGCAGGAGCAGCAGAAAGCUGGGAUGUUCCGGGCGCGGGGGUGGCACCAGCGCAGAGCCAGGAGCGGAGCCGCCAGC
rnacentral:lncRNA from 12 species